AUUGAACGCUGGCGGCAGGCCUAACAUAUGCCAGUCGAACGGUAACAGGAAACAGCUUGCUGUUUCGCUGACGAGUGGCGGACGGGUGAGUAAUGUCUGGGAAACUGCCUGAUGGAGGGGGAUAACUACUGGAAACGGUAGCUAAUACCGCAUAACGUCGCAAGACCAAAGAGGGGGACCCUCGGGCCUCUUGCCAUCGGAUGUGCCCAGAUGGGAUUAGCUUGUUGGUGGGGUAACGGCUCACCAAGGCGACGAUCCCUAGCUGGUCUGAGAGGAUGACCAGCCACACUGGAACUGAGACACGGUCCAGACUCCUACGGGAGGCAGCAGUGGGGAAUAUUGCACAAUGGGCGCAAGCCUGAUGCAGCCAUGCCGCGUGUAUGAAGAAGGCCUUCGGGUUGUAAAGUACUUUCAGCGGGGAGGAAGGGAGUAAAGUUAAUACCUUUGCUCAUUGACGUUACCCGCAGAAGAAGCACCGGCUAACUCCGUG
rnacentral:rRNA from 1 species